CAAACAUAUUAUUCCAUUUGCUUUUGCGUACAAUUUUUUCUCCUUUUGGGUCCAUUGAUACAAUCUCUUUGAAGCUCCAACUUACAAUGAGGCUAAGAUCUACAGCUAAUUUAGAUGGUUGCUAAGCUUCCUAAGGACAGCUGUUACUUGUUACUUGUAAGAAAACAUGAUUAUAUAGGUCAAUUAAACAUACAUUAUUUGGAGUAA